UGGGGAAUUUUGGACAAUGGGGGAAACCCUGAUCCAGCCAUCCCGCGUGUGCGAUGAAGGCCUUCGGGUUGUAAAGCACUUUUGGCAGGAAAGAAACGUCGCGGGUUAAUACCCCGCGAAACUGACGGUACCUGCAGAAUAAGCACCGGCUAACUACGUGCCAGCAGCCGCGGUAAUACGUAGGGUGCAAGCGUUAAUCGGAAUUACUGGGCGUAAAGCGUGCGCAGGCGGUUCGGAAAGAAAGAUGUGAAAUCCCAGAGCUUAACUUUGGAACUGCAUUUUUAACUACCGGGCUAGAGUGUGUCAGAGGGAGGUGGAAUUCCGCGUGUAGCAGUGAAAUGCGUAGAUAUGCGGAGGAACACCGAUGGCGAAGGCAGCCUCCUGGGAUAACACUGACGCUCAUGCACGAAAGCGUGGGGAGCAAACAGGAUUAGAUACCCUGGUAGUCCACGCCCUAAACGAUGUCAACUAGCUGUUGGGGCCUUCGGGCCUUGGUAGCGCAGCUAACGCGUGAAGUUGACCGCCUGGGGAGUACGGUCGCAAGAUUAAAACUCAAAUGAA
rnacentral:rRNA from 1 species